rnacentral:rRNA from 1 species
AUUGAACGAUGGCGGCAGGCCUAACACAUGCAAGUCGAACGAGUGGCGGACGGGUGAGUAAUGUCUGGGAAACGGCCUGAAGGAGGGGGAUAACUACUGGAAAAGGUAGCUAAUACCGCAUACCAUCAGAUGUGCCCAGAUGGGAUUAACGUGUGGUGGGGGUAACGGCUCACCAAGUCGACGAUCCCUAGCUGGUCUUGGAGGAUGACCAGCCACACUGGAACUGAGACACGGUCCAGACUCCUACGGGAGGCAGCAGUGGGGAAUAUUGCACAAUGGGCGCAAGCCUGAUGCAGCCAUGCCGCGUGUAUGAAGAAGGCCUUCGGUUUGUAAAGUACGUUCAGCGGGGAGGCGUUACCCGCAGAAGAAGCACCGGCUAACUCCGUGCCAGCAGCCGCGGUAAUUC